rnacentral:rRNA from 1 species
GACGAACGCUGGCGGCGUGCUUAACACAUGCAAGUCGAACGGAAAGGCACUGCUUUUGUGGGGUGCCCGAGUGGCGAACGGGUGAGUAACACGUGAGUAACCUGACCUUGACUUUGGGAUAACUUCAGGAAACUGGGGCUAAUACCGUAUAGGAGCUCCUGCUGCAUGGAGAGGGUUGGAAAGUUGCGGCGGGCGGGGAUGGAUUGGCGGCUUAUCAGCUUGUUGGUGGGGUAGUGGCUUACCAAGGGUUUGACGGGUAGCCGGCCUGGGAGGGUGACCGGCCACAUUGGUACUAAGAGACGGCCCAGACUCCUACGUGGGGCAACAGUGGGGAGUAUUACACAGUGGGCGGAAGCCGGUUGCGGCGACGCCGCGGUCGUAAUGACGGCCUUCGGGUUGUAAACCGCUUUCGCCUGUGACGAAGCGUUAGUGACGGUAAUGGAUGAAGAAGCACCGGCUAACUACGUG